UGCCACAGCCAUAUUACCCUGUAGCCCAAGACCGUUUACUCACUGAAGCUAAGAUGGGCUGAGCCUGUUCAGUACCUGCAUGGGAGACAACAUGGGAAAAGUAGGUUGCUGUUGGAA
rnacentral:rRNA from 1 species